rnacentral:rRNA from 1 species
UGUGCAAAGGUAGCAUAAUCAAUUGGCUUGUAAUUUAAGUCUGGUAUGAAUGUAGUUUUAGGUUAAAGCUGUCUCUUUAUGUUAAUUGAAAUUUACUUGGCCGGUGAAAAAACCGGCAGCAAAAUAAUAGACGAGAAGACCCUAGAAAUUUUAUGAAAGGUAUAGUAAUAUAUAUAUUGGAUUUUGUUGGGGCGACAGAGUAACAGUUAACUUACUCUAUUUGAUGUGAAUUAAUUAUGAAAAUGUAAAUUACUCUAGGGAUAACAGCAUAAUUCUAUUAGUGUUUGUGACCUCGAUGUUGGACUAGGAAAGAUAAUAUUCAGAAGAUAUUAUUAUAGGCUCUGUUCGCGCC